GAUGAACGCUGGCGGCGUGCCUAAUACAUGUAAGUCGAGCGAACAGAUAAGGAGCUUGCUCCUUUGACGUUAGCGGCGGACGGGUGAGUAACACGUGGGUAACCUACCUAUAAGACUGGGAUAACUUCGGGAAACCGGAGCUAAUACCGGAUAAUAUUUCGAACCGCAUGGUUCGAUAGUGAAAGAUGGUUUUGCUAUCACUUAUAGAUGGACCCGCGCCGUAUUAGCUAGUUGGUAAGGUAACGGCUUACCAAGGCGACGAUACGUAGCCGACCUGAGAGGGUGAUCGGCCACACUGGAACUGAGACACGGUCCAGACUCCUACGGGAGGCAGCAGUUGGGAAUCUUCCGCAAUGGGCGAAAGCCUGACGGAGCAACGCCGCGUGAGUGAUGAAGGUCUUCGGAUCGUAAAACUCUGUUAUUAGGGAAGAACAUACGUGUAAGUAACUGUGCACGUCUUGACGGUACCUAAUCAGAAAGCCACGGCUAACUACGUG
rnacentral:rRNA from 1 species